AGACCUGGAGGGCUUGGGUAAAAAUGGCUGAAUAUUUAGCUUCGAUAUUCGGGACUGAGAAGGACAAGGUUAACUGCUCUUUUUACUUUAAGAUCGGGGUCUGCCGGCACGGGGACCGGUGCUCCCGGCUUCACAACAAGCCGACAUUCAGCCAGGUGAGACCCGGCACGGAGCCUCGGGGGUUAACGGCUCCCUGGCCCUUCCCCUUCUGGGGCCGUCGUCACCAUGUCCCGCCUAUUCCGGGUUCCUGAGUCCCUCCCCACCGCCCGGCUUUUUUUCUCAUUGGACCUUUCUGCAGGCUCCUCCCACCGGUCUUCGUGCCGUUUUCCCGGGAACUUGGUCGCGCCCCCAUGCGUACAGGCUACACACGGCGGCUGUUCAUCUUUGCCAGUCCCUUCCAUCCCGCUGUUCAUCCUUGCCAGUCCCCUCCAUCCCUUUUCUGGUUUCUUAGGGGCAAAGGAUCGCCGAUGCACUCAUGAUGCUUAGGCUGGGGUGUAAGGUUCCACCCCCAACCUUCAUGCCUCACUCUCUGUUCAUGCAGCCCUGCCCUCUGAGCUCAGGCCCCGCCCCUUUUAAAUUCUGUGCAGACCAUAGUGCUGCUCAACCUGUACCGGAAUCCACAGAACACAGCCCAAACUGCAGACGGAUCACACUGUGAGUAAGGGACCAGGCCUGGGGGCAAGGUGAACAGCCCCCAGUAGGCUACACUCUGAUUCCACCCUGCCCGCCCCCACCCCAGGUCAUGUGAGUGACGUGGAGGUGCAGGAGCACUAUGAUAGCUUCUUCGAGGUGAGGGUUGGUAGGGGCAGAUGGGGUUUCUUGUGGGAGCUCAGCUGAGUUCCUCCCCGUCUUCCACAGGAGGUGUUCACAGAACUGCAGGAGAAGUAUGGGGAGAUUGAAGAGAUGAAUGUGUGCGACAACCUUGGGGACCACCUCGUGGGCAACGUCUAUGUCAAGGUGCUUGCUGCCCCCCACUUAGGGCCCAGAAGUGGAGGCGUUUCAAUGCCUGAUGGUGGCCACUGUAGGCUCUCAGCUUGAAUUUCAUCACUAAAUCCAGUCCAGCCCCAGAGCGGGUAGUGAGUCCCCUGAAGAUCUCUGAGUUCUCCUGCUGACCCUGACUGACAUUUCCUGCAGUUCCGGAGGGAGGAGGAUGGAGAGCGGGCCGUGGCUGAACUCAGUAACCGCUGGUUCAACGGGCAGGCUGUGCACGGGAAUGUACCCGAGGUGGCUUCUGCAACUUCAUGCAUCUGCGGCCCAUUUCCCAGAACCUCCAGAGGCAGCUCUAUGGGCGGGGACCCAGGCGCAGGUACCUCAGGACCAGCCUGCUAUGUCUCCUCAUGUCCUAAGGCCCCUAUAUCCUCAGAUGAGCCUAACCCUAAGCCCCAGUAACCACGUUCCCAAGAAUCUUUUUUUUUUUUUUUUUUUUUUGAGAUGGAGCCUCACUCUGUUGCCCAGGCUGGAGUGCAUUGGCACCAUCUUGGUUCAUGGCAACUUCCGCCUCCCGGGUUCAAGCAAUUCUCUGCCUCAGCCUCCCAAAUAGCUGGGAUUACAGGCACCUGCCACCAUGCCCGGCUAAUUUUUGUGUUUUUAGUAGAGAUGGGGUUUCACCAUCUUGGCCAGGCUGGUCUGAACUCCUAACCUCGUGAUCCACCUGCCUCACCCUCCCAAAGUGCUGGGAUUACAGGCGUGAGCCACCACUCCCGGCUGACUGUUUUUUUUUUUUUUUUUUUUUUUUUUUUUUGAGACGGAGUUUUGCUCUUCUUCCGCAGGCUGGAGUGCAAAGGCGCAGUCUUGGCUCAGUGCAACCUCUGCCUCCCAGGUUCAAGCAAUUCUCCUUUCUCAGCCUCCCAAGUAGCUGGGAUUAUAGGCACCUGCCACCAUGCCUGGCUAAUUUUUGUAUUUUUAGUAGAGAUGGGGUUUCACCACGUUGGCCAGCCUGGUCUCGAACUCCGGACCUCAGGUAAUCCACCCAUCUCGGCCUCCCAAAGUGUGGGGAUUACAGGCGUGAACCACUGCGCCCGGUCAUUCCCAAGACUCUUAUACCCUAAGAGUAGUUCUGAGCUCCAUCUGGAGACCAGUACCUAAGUCCCAAUCCCCAAACCAGCCUGAACCCCUAAUCCACGACCAGCCUGGAUUGCCACCCCUGAUACUGGCCACUGAGUUCCCCUGAUACUGGCCACUGAGGUCGUGUCUUAGAACUCUAGUUAUUUCAGCACCCUCCUGCCUCAUCCCAGAGCAGAGAGGCAGGCCUGCAGGAUCUCUGCACCACUCCUCAGGGUUCUAACAGAACUCUCAACGCUCCUAUUCCCAGGUCACCCCCGAGGUUCCAUACUGGCCACCAUCCCCGAGAGAGGAACCAUCGGUGUUCCCCUGAUCACUGGCAUGGCCGCUUCUGAGGCCCUGGCCCCCUUACCCUUCACCCCCAACAGGGACAGAUGUUCCUGGCAGGACCUCUCCUCAAAGCCCCCUUCACUCUCCUGCCCCAUCCUUCCCAGGCUCCCGGGCUCCAUAAUGUAAUCUGUUCAGCAUGGAGACCUUCUUCUACCGCCCCUGUCUUAAUAAAGCUGCGUGUUUCACUUCGG
rnacentral:lncRNA from 10 species